rnacentral:rRNA from 1 species
CAGUCGACGACAUAGUGGCAGACGGGUGAGUAACGCGUGGGAACGUACCCUUCACUACGGAAUAGCCUCUGGAAACGGAAGGUAAUACCGUAUACGCCCUCCGGGGGAAAGAUUUAUCGGUGAAGGAUCGGCCCGCGUUAGAUUAGUUUGUUGGUGGGGUAAUGGCCUACCAAGACUACGAUCUAUAGCUGGUCUGAGAGGAUGAUCAGCCACACUGGGACUGAGACACGGCCCAGACUCCUACGGGAGGCAGCAGUGGGGAAUCUUGCACAAUGGGCGAAAGCCUGAUGCAGCCAUGCCGCGUGAAUGAUGAAGGCCUUAGGGUUGUAAAAUUCUUUCGCCAGGGAUGAUAAUGACAGUACCUGGUAAAGAAGCCCCGGCUAACUUCGUGCCAGCAGCCGCGGUAAUACGAAGGGGGCUAGCGUUGUUCGGAAUUACUGGGGC